rnacentral:rRNA from 1 species
ACAUAUGCGACGCCUACCUGCAGUCGAGCGGAGAAGGGAGCUUGCUCCUGGAUUCAGCGGCGGACGGGUGAGUAAUGCCUAGGAAUCUGCCUGGUAGUGGGGGAUAACGUCCGGAAACGGGCGCUAAUACCGCAUACGUCCUGAGGGAGAAAGUGGGGGAUCUUCGGACCUCACGCUAUCAGAUGAGCCUAGGUCGGAUUAGCUAGUUGGUGGGGUAAAGGCCUACCAAGGCGACGAUCCGUAACUGGUCUGAGAGGAUGAUCAGUCACACUGGAACUGAGACACGGUCCAGACUCCUACGGGAGGCAGCAGUGGGGAAUAUUGGACAAUGGGCGAAAGCCUGAUCCAGCCAUGCCGCGUGUGUGAAGAAGGUCUUCGGAUUGUAAAGCACUUUAAGUUGGGAGGAAGGGCAGUAAGUUAAUACCUUGCUGUUUUGUUGUUAUCAACAGAAUAAGCACCGGCUAACUUCGUGCCAGCAGCCGCGGUAAUACGAAGGGUGCAAGCGUUAAUCGGAAUUACUGGGCGUAAAGCGCGCGUAGGUGGUUCAGCAAGUUGGAUGUGAAAUCCCCGGGCUCAACCUGGGAACUGCAUCCAAAACUACUGAGCUAGAGUACGGUAGAGGGUGGUGGAAUUUCCUGUGUAGCGGGUGAAAUGCGUAGAUAUAGGAAGGGAACACCAGUGGCGAAGGCGACCACCUGGACUGAUACUGACACUGAGGUGCGAAAGCGUGGGGAGCAACAGGAUUAGAUACCCUGGUAGUCCACGCCGUAACGAUGUCGACUAGCCGGUUGGGAUCCCUUGAGAUCUUAGUGGCGCAGCUAACGCGAUAGUCGACCGCCUGGGGGAGUUACGGCCGCAGAUUAAAACUCAAAUGAAUUGACGGGGGCCGCACAGCCGGUGGGAGCCAUGUGAUUAAUCGGAGCCACGCGAAGAACCUACUUGCUUUGACAUUGCUGAGACCUUCCGAGAAAUGGAAUGGUCGUCCUUCGGAAUCU